rnacentral:rRNA from 1 species
UACGAGGGGGGCGAGCGUUGUUCGGAAUUAUUGGGCGUAAAGGGUGCGUAGGCGGUUCCGCAAGUCCUGUGUGAAAUCUUCGGGCUCAACUCGAAGUCUGCACGGGAAACUGCGGGGCUUGAGUGUGGGAGAGGUGAGUGGAAUUCCCGGUGUAGCGGUGAAAUUCGUAGAUAUUCGGAAGAACACCAGUGGCGAAGGCGGCUCACUGGACUGGUAUUGACGCUGAUGUGCGAAAGCGUGGGGAGCAAACAGG